rnacentral:rRNA from 1 species
ACUCCUACGGGAGGCAGCAGUGGGGAAUAUUGCGCAAUGGGGGAAACCCUGACGCAGCAACGCCGCGUGAAGGAUGAAGGUUUUCGGAUUGUAAACUUCUUUGAUUGGGGACGAAGAAAUGACGGUACCCAAAAAACAAGCCACGGCUAACUACGUGCCAGCAGCCGCGGUAAUACGUAGGUGGCGAGCGUUGUCCGGAAUUACUGGGUGUAAAGGGCGUGUAGGCGGGAAUGUAAGUCAGAUGUGAAAUUCCAGGGCUCAACCCUGGCGCUGCAUCUGAAACUAUGUUUCUUGAGUGCUGGAGAGGAAAGCGGAAUUCCUAGUGUAGCGGUGAAAUGCGUAGAUAUUAGGAGGAACACCAGUGGCGAAGGCGGCUUUCUGGACAGUAACUGACGCUGAGGCGCGAAAGCGUGGGGAGCAAACAGGGAUUAGAUACCCUGGUAGUCCACGCUGUAAACGAUGGAUACUAGGUGUAGGAGGUAUCGACCCCUUCUGUGCCGCAGUUAACACAAUAAGUAUCCCACCUGGGGAGUACGGCCGCAAGGUUGAAACUCAAAGGAAUUGACGGGGGCCCGCACAAGCAGUGGAGUAUGUGGUUUAAUUCGAAGCAACGCGAAGAACCUUACCAGGGCUUGACAUACCAUUGAAGUACCCAGAGAUGGGUAUGUCCUUCGGGACAAUGGAUACAGGUGGUGCAUGGUUGUCGUCAGCUCGUGUCGUGAGAUGUUGGGUUAAGUCCCGCAACGAGCGCAACCCCUAUUGUUAGUUGCCAUCAUUAAGUUGGGCACUCUAGCGAGACUGCCGGUGACAAAUCGGAGGAAGGUGGGGACGACGUCAAAUCAUCAUGCCCCUUAUGUCCUGGGCUACACACGUACUACAAUGGCUAUUACAGCAGGAUGCGAAAGAGUAAUCUGGAGCCAAUCCCUAAAAAUAGCCCCAGUUCAGAUUGUGGGCUGCAACUCGCCCACAUGAAGUCGGAAUUGCUAGUAAUUGCAGGUCAGCAUACUGCAGUGAAUACGUUCCCGGGCCUUGUACACACCGCCCGU